rnacentral:rRNA from 1 species
UACGGAGGGGGCGAGCGUUAUUCGGAAUUACUGGGCGUAAAGGGCACGUAGGCGGCAUUUUAAGUCAGAUGUGAAAUCCCCGGGCUCAACCCGGGAAGUGCAUUUGAGACUGGAUCGCUUGAGUACUGGAGGGGGGAGUGGAAUUCCGAGUGUAGCGGUGAAAUGCGUAGAUAUUCGGAGGAACACCAGUGGCGAAGGCGGCUCCCUGGAUAGUUACUGACGCUGAGGUACGAAAGCGUGGGGAGCAAACAGG